GACGAACGCUGGCGGCGUGCUUAACACAUGCAAGUCGAACGGAAAGGCCCUGCUUUUGUGGGGUGCUCGAGUGGCGAACGGGUGAGUAACACGUGAGUAACCUGCCCUUGACUUUGGGAUAACUUCAGGAAACUGGGGCUAAUACCGGAUAGGAGCUCCUGCUGCAUGGUGGGGGUUGGAAAGUUUCGGCGGUUGGGGAUGGACUCGCGGCUUAUCAGCUUGUUGGUGGGGUAGUGGCUUACCAAGGCUUUGACGGGUAGCCGGCCUGAGAGGGUGACCGGCCACAUUGGGACUGAGAUACGGCCCAGACUCCUACGGGAGGCAGCAGUGGGGAAUAUUGCACAAUGGGCGGAAGCCUGAUGCAGCAACGCCGCGUGCGGGAUGACGGCCUUCGGGUGGUAAACCGCUUUCGCCAGUGACGAAGCGUGAGUGACGGUAAUGGGUAAAGAAGCACCGGCUAACUACGU
rnacentral:rRNA from 1 species